UACGUAGGGUGCGAGCGUUGCCCGGAUUUAUUGGGCGUAAAGGGCGCGUAGGCGGCCACGCACGUCCGUUGUGAAAUCGCCCGGCUCAACUGGGCGGGGUCAGCGGAUACGGUGUGGCUCGAGCAAGCUAGGGGGCAAUGGAAUUCCCGGUGUAGCGGUGAAAUGCGUAGAGAUCCGGAGGAACACCAGUGGCGAAGGCGGCCUUCUGGGUCGACCCUGACGCUGAGAGGCGAAAGCGUGGGGAGCGAACGGG
rnacentral:rRNA from 1 species